GAUGAACGCUGGCGGCGUGCUUAACACAUGCAAGUCGAACGGUGAAGCAGAGCUUGCUCUGUGGAUCAGUGGCGAACGGGUGAGUAACACGUGAGCAACCUGCCCUGGACUCUGGGAUAAGCGCUGGAAACGGCGUCUAAUACUGGAUACGAGACGUGGCCGCAUGGUCAACGUUUGGAAAGAUUUUUUGGUUCAGGAUGGGCUCGCGGCCUAUCAGCUUGUUGGUGAGGUAAUGGCUCACCAAGGCGUCGACGGGUAGCCGGCCUGAGAGGGUGACCGGCCACACUGGGACUGAGACACGGCCCAGACUCCUACGGGAGGCAGCAGUGGGGAAUAUUGCACAAUGGGCGAAAGCCUGAUGCAGCAACGCCGCGUGAGGGAUGACGGCCUUCGGGUUGUAAGCCUCUUUUAGCAAGGAAGAAGCGAAAGUGACGGUACUUGCAGAAAAAGCGCCGGCUAACUACGUGCCAGCAGCCGCAGUAA
rnacentral:rRNA from 1 species